rnacentral:tRNA from 1 species
GAGGGUAUCGCUUAAGUGGUAGAGCACAUGCUUAGCAUGCAUGAGGUCCUGGGUUCAAGCCCUGGCACCUCCU